AGAGAGAGCGAGCGAGAGAGAGAGAGGAGGCAGCCACGGCGCGCACCGGCGACGAGCACCGACGCCGACGAAUCCGCUCCCAUCCAUGGCAGCCCGACGGUGAAAGGAAAAUGCAAUGUUAACAUCUACUUAACAAGAAUGCUUCACCUUCAUGGCUGUCAAGCUGAAUGGCUGGGAAAGAACAACUGUAUUAUUGCUGCCAAAACAGAGGAGAAAAGUGUUUCUAUCCAUGGCAAGGUUUUUCAGGAUUUCUGCUGCCAGCUGCUUCAGUUCAUGGCUUCUCCCAUUGUCAUCCAUGAUCUCUGCAAGGUUGCUCAAUAUGAAGUUUCGAAGAUCAAAGUUAGCAAGCCUCUCAAGAAUGAUCAGUCCUUGUACUGGGAGGAAAUCUUGGUCCGUGGAUGGCUCCUCCUCUGGAACUGACCAGCAUUUUGUGAUCUGCUUCCAGCAUCUGACCAUACAAGAGUUUUGUUCAUCCACGUUAGAUGGCUCGUCCACCGCAAUGAACAGAAAAUGAUCCCUUGUUGUCUGUUGGUGAUCAGUGUCCAGAAGUGAGGCUACAAGCUGCGUUGCCCCUGGGAUUUGAACAACUCGGAGGCUACCAGCAAGCUCGGCAGUGACCUUUGCAGCGAAUAAUCUGAUUUCUUCAUCCCCAUUGCUUGUCCAGUCCAGCAUAUCGAACAAUGAGACUACUGUCCUGGUGUCAUUGGUGAGUUUUGUGAUUGUUUUGGUCCUUAACUGCUCCUUUUUUUGAAAUUUAUGCAGCAUCUGAACCCCAUAGAGCUUCUUCCUGGAUGAGUCUGAGUUGAGGGAAUCCAUGGCAAAUGUGAUGAGGCUGAUCUUCUUUGGAGCAAGCACAGCCCCUCCCAUGCAUUUCUCAAAGGCAUAUGCAUAGUACAAAUUCACAUAUUCCACUCCCAUCUGACCUCCCAAUCCGCCAUGGCGGAUGAGGUAUUUCCGAGGGAUGAAUGAAAAUACCUCCAGCAAGCAUGCUACAAUGUAAAGUAUCCCUUGCCCCAGUACCAUCCCAUAGAAUAUGAUUAGAGAUGCCUUGAGGUUUUUCUCGCUAUUUUCUCCGUUCUUUUUAUGUAGGCCUAACGAUGCGAGGACGACACGCACAGCAGCUGCUGGAAUCUGGAAGUUGCCAAAUGACAGCAACAGUAAAGCAGAAACGUCGUAUACGAUUAUCACAAGUCGUCCUGGUAGCUCGUCACUGAAAGUGAAUACCAGCAUCACUAUCGC
rnacentral:lncRNA from 1 species